GGGAGCGACCAAUAGGACGCCGGCGUAGUCUUUGAUUAAAACUAGGAACGAACGGUUCGAUUUUCAGCAAAGAUGUUUGAGACUUUAUUUCUCCGAGUGCACACACACCUAAGCAAUUAAGGAGCAAAAGAGCGAGACGCAAAGAGGGAUAUUCGUCGCCUGGCAAAUUGCCCGCUGUGAGCCGGGCGAGUGCGAAAGAGACGGGCAACUCAAUCGAAGACACUGCAACAAUUCGAAUUUAAUUGAUGCCAGUCGGCGGCGGCAGCAACAAAAAUCGAAGAGUGUGCGUGCGCUGGCAUUUAUGAGCCGCGCUUCGCCGGAAAGAAAGGCUCCUUUUGCCGCCUGGCGAUACGGACAAUAACUGAGCCGUUGAUUGGCACUGAGACCAGGUGCAAAAGCUUCAUUUCCCUCCCUCGGAUUUCCACCUGCCAUCACACUUGAAUCCAGUUAUUAGCCUCGUCGCCGGCCGUUGAACUUGUUCGCAGUGGGCAACAAGUGGAGGCGAACUUUUCGCGAAAAGUGUGCGAAAAUCCUUCAAAAGUGCAGCGCUCUGCUGCAAUUGUCCCUGACCACAGGCCGAAUGGGUCAGACGAAGGGGUGGUGUGGGUCAGCGAACAUUGGGACAUGGGAGAGACAAGGACAGCACACGGGCGGCAAAGAUAGCCGGUCGAGUUGAUAAAUUGCGCGCACAACACAGAGACAAAGAAAACCAGCUUACGGACACCCACACAGAAACGGACACCUCGCUUAUUAGGCACAGUCUGAGUCAUAACAAUAUGUUUUACAAAGGCAAAUGAUAUCUAUCGUGAAACGUAUUUAUUUUUAUAUUCCAAUUUCAAUGAGUUGUUUUAAUGAAAAAGAGGCACAUAUCAUAUAUAGGUAAUCAUUUAUAUUAUUUGUAAUUUUCGGAAGCUUCAAGUGCUUUACCGUCCACUGUAGAUCCCGGGUGCCCAUGAUAAGCUUGCCAACUGUCCGCCACUUUCGCCCAACCUGCAACCUUACCCACCCACCCAGCAUCCCGGCAUCCUUGGACUUUUCCCGGCGAUGGUCGAGCAAUUUAAUCAGACAGCAGAGCGCAGAAAAGCUGAUAAUACCGUUAUGAAUAAUUUACCCACAUACGCACACACAUUCGCUGAUGGGAAGUGAAACGCGUUUUAUUAUUGUUUCUGGAGCUGUCUCUUUUGGUUUUAUUUAUAAUUAAUAUAGCUGCGCCAGCGUAUAAUGUAAAAACAUCACAUAAAAGCACUUGUUGUUUGCACUUUUGCUUUCGAGCCUUUAAGAAGCUGCGUGUGAAAUCGUUUUAAUUAGGUGCGGUAACUUGUUGCGGCUGACCAGUGGAAACGGAAACUGCCAUUUGGGAGCGGGGAAUCCCCGAAUGUCACAUUCACCUCAGAUAUUUGCCGCUGUGCCGAUGUGCUUUCUGUCAAAAUCAAUGUGCAUCCCAACCGCAAAUAUCAUGAAUGCAAGAUGUUUGCGGUGGGUACUAAUAUCGAAAUUUAGUCCUCGCAGGCGACCGCAGUAAAUGAAACAACCAGAAAUGAACAUUUAUACCACCCAAGUAUGUCAUUUAAUGGGUACCCUGAUGUAUUUAGUUAGAGAGACGGUUGGGAUAAUUAAAUAAUUGGCCUAAAGAAAAUAUACUUUCAAGUGAAGUCGUUU